rnacentral:rRNA from 1 species
UACGGAGGGUGCAAGCGUUAUCCGGAUUCACUGGGGUUAAAGGGUGCGUAGGCGGGCAGGUAAGUCCGUGGUGAAAUCUCUGAGCUUAACUCAGAAACUGCCAUGGAUACUAUUUGUCUUGAAUGUUGUGGAGGUAAGCGGAAUAUGUCAUGUAGCGGUGAAAUGCUUAGAUAUGACAUAGAACACCAAUUGCGAAGGCAGCUUACUACACAAAUAUUGACGCUGAGGCACGAAAGCGUGGGGAUCAAACAGG